UUCGGUGGGGUGUUAUCGAUGCGUUUCUUCACGUAGUAGGCACCGACUGCCGUAAGGGUUGCGCCGCCAACCGCGGCGGUAACCAGCAGGGCCUGCUUGGAUGGGCUGGCCGCCGAAAAGUUUUCCACUAAUUCUACAGAGAAAGAAAAUGACGAAUCAAUCAUCCCCCGGGGAGAAAACGAUUGUAUACUUACUAGAUAGCAUUGUUUCUCGUACUGAUCAAUGAAACAAACUUAGCCAGCGCCAGGUGAUGGCGAAUCAGCCAGUGUUCACACUGAAGUGAUAAGAAAACUGGCAGUGGACUCGCGAGGAUGAUGAUAAGAGGAUCUUAGGGGGAGCUUCACUUUUAUCAGUCGCUUUACCCGCUUGUCUUGCUUCGCGAAUUAGUGCGAAAAUCAUACUGCGACUUUCUAGGAGAGAUGAUAGAGGAAAGUGCGAGUGCGAUAGGUUGUUUUUAUUGAGUCCGUGUGUUAAUUGUAGUGCUCACAGGAGACCGGCACUUUUUUGCUGGUCACUAUAUAAUCGAGUCGGCGAUAGUGGCGCUAAUUUUCGUUCUAGCUUGAAUAAAUCUAGCAUGGGCGACUACAGCUGCAACUCCAACUGACAAACGUCAAAACCAUAAAGCGAAACAAAAAUAGUGACGAUGGCGAACGGUGCAAGCAGCACAUUCACCCAGAAAUAAGUUCACUUGAGCAUCCUGAAAUCGAUUGCAUCAAUACAGUGACAGGGAUCAUCUUUAGA